GUGGUGUUGAUGGUGGUUCUUGGUUGUAGGUGAUGCGAUGGUGGUUCUUGGUUGUUGAUGGUGGUUCUUGGCUGUAGGUGGUGUUGAUGGUGGUUCUUGGUUGUAGGUGGUGUUGAUGGUGCUUCUUGGUUGUAGGUGCUGUUGAUGGUGGUUCUUGGUUGUAGAUGAUUGUGGUUCUUGGUAGUAGGUGAUGGUGGUUCUUGGUUGUAGGUGAUUCUGAUGGUGGUUCUUGGUUGUAGGUGAUGGUGGUUCUUGGUUGUAGGUGAUGGUGGUUCUUGGUUGUAGGUGUUGUUGAUGGUGGUUCUUGGUUGUUGAUGGUUGUUCUUGGUUGUUGAUGGUGGUUCUUGGUUGUAGGUGAUGGUAGUUCUUGGUUGUUGAUGGUGGUUCUUGGUUGUAGGUGUUGAUGAUGGUGGUUCUUGGUUGUAGGUGAUGGUAGUUCUUGGUUGUUGAUGGUGGUUCUUGGUUGUAGGUGUUGAUGAUGGUGGUUCUUGGUUGUAGGUGUUGUUGAUGGUGGCUUUUGGUUGUAGGUGAUGGUGUUUCUUGGUUAUUGGUGAUGUUGGUUCUUGGUUGUAGGUGGUGUUGAUGUUGGUUCUUGGUUGUAGGUGUUGUUGAUGGUGGUUCUUGGUUGUAGGUGAUGGUGUUUCUUGGUUAUUGGUGAUGUUGGUUCUUGGUUGUAGGUGGUGUUGAUGUUGGUUCUUGGUUGUAGGUAUUGUUGAUGGUGGUUCUUGGUUGUAGGUGGUGUUGAUGGUGGUUCUUGGUUACAGGUGAUUGUGGUUCUUGGUUGUAGCUGGUGUUGAUGGUGGUUCUUGGUUGUAGGUGGUGUUGAUGGUGGUUCUUGGUUGUAGGUGGUGUUGAUGUUGGCUCUUGGUUGUAGGUGGUGUUGAUGUUGGUUCUUGGUUGUAGGUGGUGUUGAUGGUGGUUCUUGGUUGUAGGUGAUUGUGAUGGUGGUUCUUGGUUGUAGGUGAUGGUGGUUCUUGGUUGUAGGUGAUGGUGUUUCUUGGUUAUAGGUGAUGGUGGUUCUUGGUUGUAGGUGGUGUUGAUGGUGGUUCUUGGUUACAGGUGAUGGUGGUUGUAGGUGGUGUUGAUGUUGGUUCUUGGUUGUAGGUGGUGUUGAUGGUGGUUCUUUGUUGUAGGUGAUUCUGAUGGUGGUUCUUGGUUGUAGGUGGUGUUGAUGGUGGUUCUUGGUUGUAGGUGAUUCUGAUGGUGGUUCUUGGUUGUAGGUGCCCGCGUCUGUUGUGCUGCUGUUUGACCUGCAGACGGCCCCUGCGGUGCUCCAGCGCCUUCUGGCCUUCGCAGGGAACCUGAAGGCGUGGACGCCGUCCUCCCCAGUGGCGGCCGAGCUGCGCAGCCGGCAGGACUGCCUGUACCGGGUGCUGCUGGACCCGUCCUCCACGCUGCACAGCAGGCUGGUCCAACUGCUCUCCCACCCCGACCAGGAUGUCCGCGCACAUGUGGCUCAUGUGCUCCUGUGAGGCCCGGUGUGAAGACUCGCUGGUGACAGUCUGCCUCAAGGGGACCAACACCGCCAUCUGAAGGCCAGGGGCCACCGUGGAACCCCUUUUGGCUUUAGUCCUGGUGUGGCUGUAACUCGUCUCCAUCCGACACAGAAGUUGGCAGAACCACGGAAAACGGGGCGGCCAUUUUGAAGAACUCAUCCAUUUAAAAGUUCCCUGUUCUGCUCAUGUUGAGAACCGGUGAAAGAGACCUCUUGAUCUGCACACAUCAAGUCCUCUUUUCUAAGUGCUUCCUGUCUGCAACAUGUUGUUAAACAGCAGGUUUCUUUUUUAUUAUUUAAUGAGAAUAUCCAAAGCCACUGCCAAAUCGGUGACUCCGAUUGUUGUCUGGAGUUCUCCCAAAACAUGAAUAAUGUGAGCGGUAAAGCCGAGGUCCUGCUGCAACACCUGCUACAGCUGUUGGAAUACAAUGACUUUGGCUAUCUAUAAUAUUAAAAGAAAAAACAAAGCCCAUUUCUAAUGAAUUAGUGUAUUGGCUAAAUAACAACCAGAGAGACAGAGCCCGACAAAGGGCCAGGGAGCUAAACUGAUCCGUCUAUUAUUUACUAACAUAUGGCCUUGAUAUUACUGAAAGUUACGUCUUGGGUAUUUACCAAAAUGGAUGCAGCUUGGGUCUGCAAUUGUCUAAUGUAAUGUAAUCAUUUAUUACUGCUAUAAUAAGCCUUUCAACCUUGUUUUUACAAACAAGUUAUAGAUUCGUCGUAGGGUUUACCAGACGCACUGAGAAAUAUGUGUAAUUCUAUAAGAGCCCAGUAUGUACUGUAUAUGUACAGUAUGUAUGUAUGUGGCUAAAGCUAUCAACCAGUGAGCUAUUUAGUGUGACACUUUUUAUGAUGGCCAACUCUUAACAGAAAUGCCUGUUUUGUCUGCUUGAAUGUCUCAAUACAUUACUGAUGUAAAAUGUUUGGAGUUUGACCCGAAUUAUAAUCAGUCUUCAUUUGACGUGCAUUAACUGACGAUUUAUGGGACAUUUAAACAAGACGACACAAUUCAAGGAGAAUUAAUGAUGUGGAACCUAGCGGUGAGUUUACAGAUUGAAACCAAUUAAACUAAACACAGUAAAA
ensembl:lncRNA